GAAACCCCAGAUUUUUUCUGGGUUGACUCUUCUUCUUUUUCUGUGAAUUUUUGUUUUUGGCUAAAGGGGUUUCAGAGCAAAGAGUUUGCUAUGGAUUCUCAAGUUCUUGUUGCUCUUGGUCUUUCAUUGUUGGGUGGAUUGAGUACCUCUCUAGGUGCACUUUUUGUGGUUAUUAGCCAGACUCCUAACUUGAAGAUGCUAGGACUUUUACAGGGGUUUGCUGCCGGUCUUAUGCUUAGCAUAUCAUUCUUUGACUUGGCUCAUAAUGCUAUAAACUCCAUUGGCUUCUUAAAAGGAAACCUCUGGUUUUUUGCAGGUGUUAUCUUCUUUGCUCUUGUUUCAAAUUUCAUCCCGGAACCUACACUUGCACCCAUUUCAAGUGCCAAAGGCAAAAAGAAAGACGGAGAUGAUAGGGGUAAGGAUAUUAUGAAGAAGCAUCGCCGCCAAGUUUUAUUUAGUGGAAUCAUCACAGCUGUAGGUAUAAGCUUGCACAACUUUCCUGAAGGGAUGGCUGUGUUUCUUGGAUCAAUGAAGGGACUUCGGGUUGGUCUGAACUUGGCUCUUGCUAUUGCCUUACACAAUAUACCAGAGGGUGUUGCAGUUGCACUUCCAGUUUAUUUUGCAACACAGAGCAAAUGGCAGGCAUUCAAAUUGGCAACA
rnacentral:misc_RNA from 1 species